rnacentral:rRNA from 1 species
GAUGAACGCUGGCGGCGUGCCUAAUACAUGCAAGUCGAGCGAACAGACGAGGAGCUUGCUCCUCUGACGUUAGCGGCGGACGGGUGAUUAACACGUGGAUAACCUACCUAUAAGACUGGGAUAACUUCGGGAAACCGGAGCUAAUACCGGAUAAUAUAUUGAACCGCAUGGUUCAAUAGUGAAAGACGGUUUUGCUGUCACUUAUAGAUGGAUCCGCGCCGCAUUAGCUAGUUGGUAAGGUAACGGCUUACCAAGGCAACGAUGCGUAGCCGACCUGAGAGGGUGAUCGGCCACACUGGAACUGAGACACGGUCCAGGCUCCUACGGGAGGCAGCAGUAGGGAAUCUUCCGCAAUGGGCGAAAGCCUGACGGAGCAACGCCGCGUGAGUGAUGAAGGUCUUCGGAUCGUAAAACUCUGUUAUUAGGGAAGAACAAAUGUGUAAGUAACUAUGCACGUCUUGACGGUACCUAAUCAGAAAGCCACGGCUAACUACGUG